CACGUAGGGACCAAGCGUUGUCCGGAUUUAUUGGGCGUAAAGAGCUCGUAGGCGGUUUGUCGCGUCUGCUGUGAAAACUCGGGGCUUAACUCCGGGCCUGCAGUGGGUACGGGCAGACUAGAGUGCGGUAGGGGAGACUGGAAUUCCUGGUGUAGCGGUGAAAUGCGCAGAUAUCAGGAGGAACACCAAUAGCGAAGGCAGCUCGCUGGGACGGUAUUGACGCUGAGGCGCGAAAGCGUGGGGAGCGAACAGG
rnacentral:rRNA from 1 species